rnacentral:lncRNA from 1 species
CUUUUACAUUCACAAAUUGUCUAGGUAUCUUGUGGAAGAUGAUGUCUGUGUGAUAUAAAAUGAAUUUCAUACAUACACACAAAAAAGCUAUCAGUGUAUUUAUGAGUCCUUCUGUUCCUCCUCUCCCCUUAAUUUAUGGCUUUGUGCAUUUUCCUUUAGACGCAGUUUGAUUUCCCUGCACAGACAGUCUCAUCAGUUGUCUGCAGGGGUCUCCGAGGGCACGAGACACAAGCCAGAUCAGCCUGUCCCGAGGUCUGUUCUGCCACCGCAUGACUAAGCUUGCUGAUUUAAAGUCAAUGCCAAAGUCUCUACUGCAAACACUCUCUGCAGCACUGAUACGUGAAGGCAGAUGUAUGGGAGGGUGGCCCCACGGCAGCGCCACGCAAUCCGCCAUGCGACACAGUUACAGCUGCGCAACUCCCAACAAAGCACUUCCCACCGAGCCUGGCAUCUGCCCCGACAUAGCUCCAGAGCCUGCGUCUUGCAAAGCCAAAGGCAAUGCUCUUUCACAACAACAAGUGAAUGAUCAAACCCUGACACGGCAAGAGAGGGGAGAGAAAAAAUUAUUUAAAAGAAACAGGAAAACUAGCAGGGGGCUCAUUAGCAGGUCACAUCCAGAAUGGUCUGAGGACAAAAACUGCAUUCCAAAAAGGUUUUCACAACUUCUAGAAGCCAUUCCUUUCAUAUCAGGAAGAUCCCGGCACAUCUGCAGUUCUGCACCCUGUCCAUGCAGAGAACAGCCCAAACCUGAAGCAGCACAUGCUCUUCCUCCGAGGCUACACUGGGUCCUGAGCUGAGUGAACAAAUGAAGUCCUCUGUGAGACUUACACACGUAGGACCCCUCAACACUUCAAUGCUGAAUUCAGGACCAAUGGCAAUAUGAGUAAUUUCCCAAAGCAUAGAGCUCUGGAGUCACAAUCCCUGUUAGGGGUCAUAAAUCUGGAAAUGAGCAUAGCUGAAAAAAAAAAACCCCAAAACCCUAUUCUCUUCUGAUCUAUGCGUAAGAACCCUCUUCUAGGAAAAAGAUGACUUUGGAUUCAACUCUCUCCCCAGCCCUGAGGCGAAUGAAAGCCACAUUUGCCAGGAGAGCAUGCUAACUGGCAGGCUCCAGGCCAGCCUAGGAGGAAG